CUAAUACAUGCAAGUCGAACGAAGUUCUGAUUAUUGAAAGGUGCUUGCAUCUUGAUUUAAUUUUGAACGAGUGGCGGACGGGUGAGUAACACGUGGGUAACCUGCCCUUAAGUGGGGGAUAACAUUUGGAAACAGAUGCUAAUACCGCAUAAAUCCAAGAACCGCAUGGUUCUUGGCUGAAAGAUGGCGUAAGCUAUCGCUUUUGGAUGGACCCGCGGCGUAUUAGCUAGUUGGUGAGGUAACGGCUCACCAAGGCAAUGAUACGUAGCCGAACUGAGAGGUUGAUCGGCCACAUUGGGACUGAGACACGGCCCAAACUCCUACGGGAGGCAGCAGUAGGGAAUCUUCCACAAUGGACGCAAGUCUGAUGGAGCAACGCCGCGUGAGUGAAGAAGGCUUUCGGGUCGUAAAACUCUGUUGUUGGAGAAGAAUGGUCGGCAGAGUAACUGUUGUCGGCGUGACGGUAUCCAACCAGAAAGCCACGGCUAACUACGUGCCAGCAGCCGCGGUAAUACGUAGGUGGCAAGCGUUAUCCGGAUUUAUUGGGCGUAAAGCGAGCGCAGGCGGUUUUUUAAGUCUGAUGUGAAAGCCCUCGGCUUAACCGAGGAAGUGCAUCGGAAACUGGGAAACUUGAGUGCAGAAGAGGACAGUGGAACUCCAUGUGUA
rnacentral:rRNA from 1 species